GGAGAGGUGGCCGAGUGGCAAGGCAGCGGCUUGCUAAGCCGUCGGGGCGCGAGUCCCGCGCAGGUUCGAUCCCUGUCCUCUCCGCCA
rnacentral:tRNA from 1 species